rnacentral:tRNA from 1 species
GAGGGUAUAGCUCAGUGGUAAAGUGCAUGCCUAGCAUGCACGAAGUCCUGGGUUCAAUUCCCAGUACCUCUG